rnacentral:lncRNA from 1 species
CAAAAGUUCUAUAUUCAGUUUCUGGUACCUUCAGUUCAGAGGCAGAUAGUACUGCUUGAACCUUAAAACUCUGUAUCUGAUGUCCAUGUGAAGAGAAUAUAACUGUUAUAAAUUCAGAGAGUAGAAAUCAUAGAGGGAAAGGAUAAUAUUUGAGAGUGAGGUUAAGAAUGUAGAAAUAUGUUGGUUAGAUUUUCAGUUUGUUCCUGAUGUAUAUUAGGUUUUUUUGUUUGUUUCCUUUGGAAAUUCUAUCUCCUAUUGGAAAUAAACUCUUUGAUUUAUUUCAAAAUCUGAGGGAACGCUUUGCCUUCACAGAAAUCAAAGAUGUUAGUUUUUAGGGGAAAUGUGUGACUUGCCCUUCUUUCUUUGUCAUUCACUUCAUAAGCAUAGGAAUACCACAAAGACAGGAGAUGAGGGUGUGUGACAGGGUGAGAUUGAAUUAGAGCAGAGGGCAGCUGAAGGAGAGAAGAGAUGACUCCCUGUUAAAAAAAAAAAAUAUUUAAACUAAAUGACUUAUGUGUUAACAGUCUUCUGAGGUCAGAUCUUCUAGAAAUGGCCAAGAACAUUUUUUUUUUUUAAAGUUACAGUCUUAGACUAUGUCAGCAAGACAUAAGUGUUUAUCAACACCUUGCUAGCUGGAAAGGCUAUGAAGAAGGGCAAUAGAAGGGGUGUGAGAGGCAAAUCCUGGUUGGGCCAAAAAUAAAACUACAAUUCAUAUAACCUUUGUAAAAGAAGCGGCAGUUAAGAGAGGAUGUAAUUGCUUGCAAAAUAUUAAAUGCUAUAGGUAAUGCCAAGAUUCACCGAUUGGUGUGGGUCAACCUAGAGAAGACAAGCUGCAGAAGGGAAAAAUAUUUUUUCUCUUCUCAAGGGAAAUGCUUUUCAUACAUAGGCUAUGGGCAUUCAGCAUUGUUUAUAGCAAAAAGAUGAAUUAGGGGAAACCAGAAGAAGAACAUCCAGGGGAAAACAAAGUCUUUCCGUUGUCAACUUAAAAAUUUACACAACCUGAAAGCUGAAAGUUAGGUUUUAUUUGGGGUGAAAUUAGGACUUCAGUCUGGGAGACAGCAUCUCAGCUAGCCCUGAGAAACCAGCUCUGAGGAGGCUAGGGGGGAGCUAGGAUAUAUGAGUUCUUGCAACAAAGGGAAGGUAGUAGGAACAAAAGGUUUACCUAUAACCAGGUUUACAGAAAAUGAUUUAUAGAAAACCAGUUUCUGUGGGAAGAUGUGAAAGUCUGGGCUUACUGGAAUCACUCCUUGGAUAUGCACCUCACCUGUGGGCCAAUCUUUGGUUCUUUCCUGAGCUCCCUCAGAGCUCAGUGGCUGACCCUUGGGAGUGGCUGUCCUCACAGAUGACCUUGACAUCUUUUGUUUUAUCCACCCUACUACAGCCUGGGAGACACUAUUUCAGACAGCUCUGAAAUACCACCCCAAAGAGAAAAGGGGGAAAUAUCAAGAUAUAAGUCCUAAAGUUGAUGGGUGAGAUGCAUGCAGAAGUUUGCUGCUGCUCUCAUGAAGGUUACUGCUAGUCACAGAUAUCAGUCAUCAUUGAAGGAUGUUAGUGUUUUUCUAGAUAUGAGGAGAUGCAAGAAUUGAGCUCAUAAAAUAGUCUCCUAAAAAUAUCUGACUAUCCGAAGACCUGCUGUUCCAGUUUUCUGAGAGCACAGAGUGUCUCACUCCUGGUCUUCACCCAGAGCUCAGGGGGUGCUACAGGCUGGCAGCUGCAGUGGCUCAUAUUUUACUAUUUGUAGAGGCUAAUGGCAAGUGCCAAACUUUAGUUUACAGUGCUCCCCCAUGGUCAUAAAUUCGAUCACAGUUUUAGGAGGCAUUUCUUAACCAUUUUAUGACUGUUUAAUCCCACAGUGCUAUGAAUGCUCAUUCCCAGGUCUGGCAUAGAUUUCAUUGAUAGGCUACUCAAUGUGCUGUUACUGUACUAGGCCUUAUUACAGUAGCCAAAACUGUCUGGACCACUUAUAUUUUUGGGGGGGAGGGGAGAAAUGGAGAAAAAAAAAUAGCUUUAUUGCUUUGCCAGUCAAAGGAAGGUCAUAGCAGGUUAAUGCCUUAAAGACUGUGCACCCCCCCCAACCCCUUUCAAAAGAAUUGUGAGGAGUUUUAUAGUAAAAAGGAGAAAAACAGGUUUUCAGCUAGGAAUCAGGAUUGGGACAAACCUGCAUUUUCCUUCUUUGGGGGACUCUUAGUCAUCAAAGCUGGAGUCAGGAGAUGUUCAUGAUGGUGGUCUUCUGGGUUAUUGCCUAGAGUAACAGCUAAUAGCUUAGUUACUGUCAUUUAAAAUCUAUUGAGUGAAUUUCCUUAAGGCUUUGAUUUGGCCAAUUAUAGCCUCCAGUCCCAUUGACAGUACAACGAUUGUUUAAGUUGUCAUACUAGUGGAAUAUAGAUUUCUUGACCCAUUGGGUUUGUACCAAUGGUCGAUUGGUUGGGGUCAUCUUUAAAUUGUUAAGUAUAUGACCUUAAGUCCAAGGGAGUCCUAUCCAUCCCAGUGCAAGCCAAGAACAUAAAUUAGUACUACAAAUUCACUGAGUUCCAUUGGGUGUGACCCAGUGAAUCUCCGGUCAUCUGACCCAGCAUGUUCCAUAUCAGCCACUAUCUCCAAGGGUAAAAAUAUAUAGACAUUGUUCAUAAAGCACCCAGCUUAAUUUCCUACUAUUACUAGGCUCAGCUGAUUAUUCUUUGUACGAUUUAAUUGUUUUCAACAUAGAGGAGGCUUUAAACUUAAAUGGCCAUAACCUGAUGUUAACCACUAAAUCUAUCCCACAAGUGUGGUGUGUUCCCUUCUAAUAAACAGGAGGUUACAGUUUUUCAUUGAGCCUAAGCUCAUUGUUCUGAGUUUGAGUAACCCUAAAGGAAAAUUUCGUAUUUAUGAUCAGGGUCAGAGCAGGUACUAUUACUAUUUGGCCAGGUGAGAAAAUCCCACCCAGUAAUAAAAUACAUUUCCUAGAGGUUAUUCAGUCAGAGCCUUAGAAAGGAGAAAUCCAUCAAGGUAACCCAGAAGUACUAGACACAGGUAAUUGGCCACAAACCCAACAGUUGGGCUGGUUAAAAUUAGCAUAGGAUAGUGCUCCUGAUGGAAGAACUUUUGAUUUAUUUAUUUAUUUUUUUGAGGUUCUUAUGCAGAUUAUUUUUUAAUUUUUAUAAUUUUUUUAUUUUCCCACUGUACAGCAAGGGGGUCAGGUUAUCCUUACAUGUAUACAUUACAAUUACAUUUUUUUCCCCCACCCUUUGUUCUGUUGCAACAUUAGUAUCUAGACAAAGUUCUCAAUGCUAUUCAGCAGGAUCUUGUAAAUCUAUUCUAAGUUGUGUCUGAUAAGCCCAAGCUCCUGAUCCCUCCCACUCCCUCCCCCUCCCAUCAGGCGGCCACAAGUCUUUUCUCCAAGUCCAUGAUUUUCUUUUCUGAGAGAUGUUCAUUUGUGCUGGAUAUUAGAUUCCAGCUAUAAGUGAUAUCAUAUGGUAUUUGUCUUUGUCUUUCUUUGUCUUUUGUCAUUUCACUCAGUAUGAGAUUCUCUAGUUCCAUCCAUGUUGCUGCAAAUGGCAUUAUGUCAUUCUUUUUUAUGGCUGAGUAGUAUUCCAUUGUGUCUAUAUACCACCUCUUCUGAAUCCAAUCAUCUGUCGAUGGACAUUUGGGUUGUUUCCAUGUCCUGGCUCUUGUGAAUAGGGCUGCAAUGAACAUGCGGGUGCACGUGUCUCUUUUAAGUAGAGUUUUGUCUGGAUAGAUGCCCAAGAGUGGGAUUGCGGGAUCAUAUGGAAAGAACAUUUGAUUUAUAUGCAAAAAUUCAGGAAGCCAAGAAAACAUAAAUCAUCAUACAAAUCAGGUCUAGCAUCUUAGGGCAGCUGUCUAUUUAUGAUGUCAUCUUCUUCUCAUCCUCCAUGUGAUAGUUUUUUCUCCAUGUGAGCAUGAUUUUGUCAGCAGUCCUCUUUAUAGGACCAGCCCAGUGCAGGGGCCUAGUUUAGCAUUAUGGUCUGAAAAUCAGGAACUUAUAUUGUUCAAAAGUUCUUUCUAUAAUCCUUUCUGUCUGUAAAAAGGAAACAGUUUUGCAAAGGCAUCAGAGUAAAGCCAUUAACUACCUAUAAUGACAAAAGACUUAAGAAGGCAAAUUUAAGAUCUGAUUACAAUGCAUUUGACAAAGAAAUUUCGUUACUGUUGAGACAUCAUACUGUAUAAUCUGAGGCUUAUCACUCAUUUAAUAGUGCUGUCCUUGUAUUUUCCUAGUUAAUUUAACUCUCCCCCUCCCUUCCCUGAUUAGCAGCUAUUUAGACCUGUCAUAUGGAAUUCAGGGAAGGUCAAGGAGGCUGAAUGAGGCCUAUUUCCCGAACAAGAAAUGGGGGACACAGAAAGGCUUGUCCCCAGGAGCCUCACAGGGCCCUGCUUGCUUACAUUCCCCCCUUUUCUUUGAUACUUCUCAAUCUUGAGGAGACCAGGUGUUUAGCCAGAAAGGGAAUGUUUUGGGUAGAGAUGUUAAUCAACUUGGCAAAGGCACUUGGUUUUAUGGGGACUUAGGUGAGUCCCUGCUUCUGUUUUAUGUUUCCCCAAGUCUUCCGGGGAAUGGGGCGACUACCUGCUCUGGCUACUUCCUGCUAAAAUGUGGUGCAGUCCUACCUCAAUUUGGGAAAUGGACACCAAGUUAAAAAUAUUCCCGAGUUUCAAGUCCUGGAUCUGAGUCUUAGAUGAUUACGAUCUCAGUCCCUUGACGAUUCUGGUGCAACAGACCCAAUUGGAAGUAGGAGGAACAACUAGAACUUUAAUAGACAAUGUGCACAUUCCCUGAAGAAUUUAGGAGUAUAAGUCUGAAUUCUGACCAGAAUUUGAAUUUGGGGGAGACUCAUUGUAGCCAGGUAUCCAGUUGUCUACUUUUAUCUAAGUAGGUUUUUAACUUAAGAUGUGGUAUUGACAUAUACACAACAGGAGCUAUUGGCCAUUACAUAUCUCCCCCGCCCCCACUUUUUUUCUUGUCUGAUCUAAAGCAAUUUCAUUGUCUAAAAAUUUAAUAGUUACAAGAGGAUAUCUUGAAGCCAUAAUGUUGCAGCUACUAGCUGCCAACAGAUACUGCUUUAAGAAUAGCUAGUGGCAUCCCAAGUCUGACACAGCUCAGAAAAUUCAAGUUCUCAGCAAUACAAGGACUUGUCUGAAAUCAUGAUCACAAUGCCACCUAGCAUUACUUUGGAUAUCUGAACCAUAGCUACUCCAUUUUGACUUUUAAUAGUAUUUUUCUUAAUGGCCAAGGUAGAUAUCACUGUUAAUGAUUUUAGUGCUUUUCUGGUUAUGAGGAGAUACAAGAAAUAGGCUCAUAAAAUCUUCUCCUAAAAAUAUCUAACUAUCUGAAGACCUGCUCUUCCAGUUUUCCCAGAGCACAGAGCGCUUCACUCCUGGUCUCCACCCUGAACUCUGCUCAGGGGGUGCUGCAGGUUGGCAGCUGGAGUGGCUUAUGUUUUACUUCAUGUGGAGGCUGAUGGCAAGUCUCAAACUUCAGUUCACACUGUGGUUCAGGUAUCUAAGAACUCAGAAUGAAUGGAUUAUGACUGCUGUUAUUCAUGAAAAGUUUUAUUAACUACAUUGUCCAUAAAUGUCUAUACUGAUCUGGCACUGUAAUCUAAACCUGUCAUAUUUCUGAGGUCUGAGCUCAGGUAAAAACUAAGAUUGAUAAUUUGUGGACUAUCUGUAUCUGCUUAAUUCCAAAGACAAAACUCAAGAUUUAGAAAGACCUUUAUAGACUGACUUAGCACAGAGACAGAAUUACAUGGGAAAGGCUGCUUCAGCUCAGAACUGAGAAUGUAGUGGUAAAAAGCCCCUUGUCACAACUUUAGUAGAUAAAUUGAAUACAUCAGUUGAAACCUAUAAUUUGACUCACUUAUAACAAUUACAAAAAAUAGGGAAAGGCUUGGAAUGUGAGCCAUGGUGCCAACUUAUUUAUCAUUACCUUCAUUUGUUCAUUUGUUCAUUAAUUCAUUCAUUCACUCAGAUGAUCACUCAUUCUAUAAAUAACAGUUAAAUGCCUAACCAAUUCAAAGGAUUAGGGAAUGUUGUGAGUGCCAAGGACAGAACUGUUAUCACACAUCCUAUCCUUGCACUUGUGGAGCUUAUAGACCAGUAGAGAAAGACAGAUAAAAGCUGAAACAAAGGCUAAAUGAGAUUAUUUCAGAUGGCAAAAUUCCUAUGAAGGAAGAGAAUCAGAUGGCAUUAUGGAGAUUCGGUGCUUAGAUAAGAUAAGGAGGAUAGACUGCAUAUGUGGGUGAUCUGGGAGGGUCUCUUUGAAAGGUAUCAUUUGAGACCCAGGAUGAGAAGCCAAACUACAUCGACGUACAUAAAGCAGAAGACAAAGAAUAAUUUAUUUCAGAAUAUACAGACCAGAGAUUAAAGAAUAAUUUGCUAACCUGGCAAAGUCCUUAAGGUUUUUUAAGAGGGAAAGCAUUUCUCUCUCUUUUUCUAACUCUAUCUCUCAUAAAUGGAAAUUGCCAACACUUCCUAUGUGUCCAUGAAAAUCAUAUGACUCUGUCUUCCGGAGUUGUAAUGUUUCUUAAGCACAACAACAAAAACAAAACAAGUCUGAAGUUUUGUAGCCCGCAAAAGGCUAUCUGGAGUUCUGUCGUGACUCAGCAGUUAACAAACCCGACUAGCAUCCGUAAGGAUGUGGGUUUGAUCCCUGGCCUCACUCAGUGGGUUAAGGAUCCAGUGUUGUCAUGAGCUGGGUGUAGGUGGCAGAUGUGGCUUGUAUCCAUUGCUAUGACUGUGCUAUGACUGUGGCAUAGGCUGGUGGCUGCAGCUCCAGUUCAGUCGAACCCUAGCCUGGGAGCUUCCAUAUGCUGUGAGUGCAGCACUACAAAAAGACCAAAAAAAAAAGCUAUCAAAGUUCAAAGAAUUGUCUUUAUGUUUAAUACAGUUCUAUGUGCAUUGUAGUGGCUUAAUAAAGAAUAGCUAACUUAAGGAAUGGAAUUUUGUUUAAUGAUGUUACUUACUAAAUACAUACUUAUUUGUUAAAGAAUGAAAUUGAGUUUAAUGAACUUAUAGACCAGUAGUCUUUCAAAGAUACCAGAAUACUUUAUUAUUCAUUCCACAAGUAACCUCAUUCACUUGCCUAAGUCAAGUAAAAGAGUAUUAAUUCUGAGAGUAGUAACCCUGAAAUGAUUCAUGGUGUUGAUUCAUAGAUGAGAUUUAACUUAAAGCAACACCUUUGUCUCGAUCACUCAAAUGACACUUAUGUAAAUAACAAUAUAAGGGAGAACAGACUUUUUAUAUAGGUUAUUUUUUUCAAUUAGAUCGUAAAAUACAUUAUGAUAGGAGCCAAUUUUUAUGCCUCUUUAGAACCCUAAUUCUUAUUAGCAUAUAUGAAAAUGAUGGGUGCUCACUAAUCUCGAAGGCUGUGCAGUGAACUGGAAAAAGGAUGGUCUUUAAAGCUAGACAGACUGAUUUGAAUUCUGGCUCUGCAAAUUUCCAGCCUGUGGGCUUGACUAAAUGGUAUGUUAGCUGAGCCUCACUUUUUUCACCUAUAGAAUGGAGAUCCCACUACCUUUCAAGGUGAAUUUGGAGGUUAAUGAUGCUUUAGGCAUGAUAACUAUAGGAUAACUAUUGAUAUUUAAAAACAAGAAGAGAAAUAGGCAGACUGUUGCUAUUAAGUUCUGUGAGGUCAGAAAUGGGAGCUGUAUCUUUUGGUAUCCACAAUUCCUGACCCAGGAGUGGCACAAAACAAGUACUUGCUGAAUGAGUGAAUAAAUGAAUGUUACGUUUGAUGAUUUGAGUUGGGUAGAAUGGUGAGAAAUGUUGUGAUUUAUACCCAAUGAUAGACAUAAAAUAGAAGAAUUUAAGGACCACAUUAGAUAUACCAGUACCUUCAAAUUUAUUAUUGCCUUUAGGAGGAAUACUCUUACACUAUUUCUAGAAAGAAAACUGUCCCUUUUGUUGUUAAAAACAACAACAAACCUUUAGAAAGAACUAUCAUCAGUUAUGUCUAGUUUCCAAUAGCAAUUUUCUACAAGACAAAAGUAUAAAAAUUAAUCAAAUAAACAAUACCAAAACACCUGCUGUAAUGUUAAUUGCAGGAGUUCAGUUCUCCUGGCCUUUACAAGAAUCAGGUGACCUCAGUGAAGGUAAAUCAUUAUUGGUUGAACUGUGGUUGUGUUCUGUGAAAAAAAACAAUGUCUCAGCCCAAAGGCCAUGUAAUGAUUCUUUGAACAAUUGACCCUAGGAAGAAGGGUUAAGAUGGUUUUGGAUCUUCAGUUCUUUAACUUCACAUGCAGUAAGUGGUGGAGUCAAAGGAGAUAGUUGAAUUGUCUCUGUACUCAGAAAGCAGGACUGUGUGUUCUCAGGAUUUCUGAGGGCUUUGAUCAGUCUUCAAGCGAGUCUGCAUACCUGCUGGAAGAGUUAGUGUCAACUUAAAGAGAUGGUGGAAUAGACCUUAAGUGGAAAAAUAUUCUGCUUUUCUAGGGACGUAACAGUCUGAGAUAAACAGCCCUGUCCUUUACUGAUAGUAGAAAUAAGGAAAGUUAUCAAGGAGGAAGAGACUCUAGGUAGGUACAGAAAUAUCUGAAUCAGAUGAUCUAAGAAAAAUUGUGGUGGAGGAGUUCCCUUUGUAGCACAGUGGAAAUGAAUGAGACUAGGUAACCAUGAGGUGGUGGGUUCGAUCCCUGGCCUUGCUCAAUGGGCUAAGGAUCCAGUGUUGCAGUGAUGUAUGGUGUAGGUCGCAGAUGUGGCUUGGAUACUACGUUGCUGUGGCUGUGGCAUAGGAUGGCAGCUACAGCUCCAAUUCAACCCCUUGCCUGGCAACCUGCAUAUGC